AUUGUCCAACAUCAAGUGCUCAAUUUCUAUCUCAGGUGGAGAGAAGCAGCUUGAUGGUAAUGGUAGCAGCAAUCUGCUUCAGGUGUUACAGUGCACAGAGGACACUCCAAGGGUUCAAGAAUAUGGUGGUAUUGGGCUUUGAUAUGUGCAUGAUAGUAAGUUUUUUCUUGUUUCAGCACAUCAAGCUUCACAUCUGCACUGCUCGUAUAUUGUAUAGAAGGAAAGACCCUGUUACCACCCUGUCAACAUGAACCUAAAUGCCAGCUCUCCGCACAGCAACUGAAAAGAUAGCACGGAGGAGGGAAAUAAAAUCUACUGACAUAAUGUAA